GAUGAACGCUGGCGGCGUGCUUAACACAUGCAAGUCGAACGGAAAGGCCCAAGCUUGCUUGGGUACUCGAGUGGCGAACGGGUGAGUAACACGUGGGUGAUCUGCCCUGCACUUCGGGAUAAGCCUGGGAAACUGGGUCUAAUACCGGAUAGGACGAUGGUUUGGAUGCCAUUGUGGAAAGUUUUUUCGGUGUGGGAUGAGCUCGCGGCCUAUCAGCUUGUUGGUGGGGUAAUGGCCUACCAAGGCGUCGACGGGUAGCCGGCCUGAGAGGGUGUACGGCCACAUUGGGACUGAGAGACGGCCCAGACUCCGACAGGAGGCAGCAGUGGGGAAUAUUGGACAAUGGGCGCAAGCCUGAGGCAGCGAGGCCGCGUGGGGGAUGACGGCCUUCGGGUUGUAAACUCCUUUCGCUAGGGACGAAGCGUUUUUGUGACGGUACCUGGAGAAGAAGCACCGGCUAACUACGUG
rnacentral:rRNA from 1 species